rnacentral:rRNA from 1 species
CGGAGGAAAAGAAACCAACAGGGAUUGCCUUAGUAGCGGCGAGUGAAGCGGCAAAAGCUCAAAUUUGAAAUCUGGCACUUUCAGUGUCCGAGUUGUAAUUUGAAGAAGGUAUCUUUGGGUCUGGCUCUUGUCUAUGUUUCUUGGAACAGAACGUCACAGAGGGUGAGAAUCCCGUGCGAUGAGAUGUCCCAGACCUAUGUAAAGUUCCUUCGAAGAGUCGAGUUGUUUGGGAAUGCAGCUCUAAGUGGGUGGUAAAUUCCAUCUAAAGCUAAAUAUUGGCGAGAGACCGAUAGCGAACAAGUACAGUGAUGGAAAGAUGAAAAGAACUUUGAAAAGAGAGUGAAAAAGUACGUGAAAUUGUUGAAAGGGAAGGGCUUGAGAUCAGACUUGGUAUUUUGUAUGUUACUCUCUCGGGGGUGGCCUCUACAGUUUACCGGGCCAGCAUCAGUUUGAGCGGUAGGAUAAGUGCAAAGAAAUGUGGCACUGCUUCGGUAGUGUGUUAUAGUCUUUGUCGAUACUGCCAGCUUAGACUGAGGACUGCGGCUUCGGCCUAGGAUGUGGCAUAAUGAUCUUAAGUCGCCCGUCUUGA